rnacentral:rRNA from 1 species
GGCUUUGCCUGGUGGUGAGAGUGGCGAACGGGUGAGUAAUGCGUGACCGACCUGCCCCAUGCACCGGAAUAGCUCCUGGAAACGGGUGGUAAUGCCGGAUGCUCCAUCACACCGCAUGGUGUGUUGGGAAAGCCUUUGCGGCAUGGGAUGGGGUCGCGUCCUAUCAACUUGAUGGCGGGGUAACGGCCCACCAUGGCUUCAACAGGUAUCCGGCCUGAGAGGGCGACCGGCCACAUUGGGACUGAGAUACGGCCCACACUCCUACAGGAGGCAGCAGUGGGGAAUAUUGCACAAUGGGCGCAAGCCUGAUGCACCGACACCGCGUGAGGGAUGGAGGCCUUCCGGUUGUAAACCUCUUUUGUUAGGGAGCAAGGCACUUUGUGUUGAGUGUACCUUUCGAAUAAGCACCGGCUAACUACGUGCCAGCAUCCGCGGUAAUACGUAGGGUGCAAGCGUUAUCCGGAAUUAUUGGGCGUAAAGGGCUCGUAGGCGGUUCGUCACGUCCGGUGUGAAAGUCCAUCGCUUAACGGUGGAUCCGCUCCGGGUACGAGCGGGCUUGAAUGCGGUAGGGGAGACUGGAAUUCCCGGUGUAACGAUGGAAUGUGUAGAUAUCGAGAAGAACACCAAUGGCGAA